CUACGGGAGGCAGCAGUGGGGAAUAUUGGACAAUGGGCGCAAGCCUGAUCCAGCAAUGCCGCGUGAGUGAAGACGGCCUUAGGGUUGUAAAACUCUUUCGCUAGAGAAGAUAAUGACUGUACCUAGUAAAGAAGUCCCGGCUAACUCCGUGCCAGCAGCCGCGGUAAUACGGAGGGGACUAGCGUUGUUCGGAAUUACUGGGCGUAAAGAGUUCGUAGGCGGACUGACAAGUUAGAGGUGAAAUCCCAGGGCUCAACCCUGGAACUGCCUUUAAAACUGUCGGUCUAGAGACCGGAAGAGGUUAGGGGAAUACCUAGUGUAGAGGUGAAAUUCGUAGAUAUUAGGUGGAACACCAGUGGCGAAGGCGCCUAACUGGUCCGGUACUGACGCUGAGGAACGGAAGCGUGGGGAGCAAAUAGGAUUAGAUACCCCCGUAGUC
rnacentral:rRNA from 1 species